UUUUUUUUUUUUUAACCUACAAAGUAACAUGUCAUGCCUUUCUAACCAAUAAGAGCAUGACAAAUGUCAAGAGCAGGUCACGGCACGCUAAAAAGAAAGUUAUCCUCGCCUUUAGACUUAUGCGCACAAAUUUUUUGGCAGAUAAAAAUUGUAUGAGACCCCCUCAACUAUAGUGAUGUCUGAAACAGCCCUUUUGACUAUAUAUUUUUUCAGAUCGACCCCUUCUCAGCUUUUGAAUCUUUAGAAUUAAAUAAUUUUAGCCAAAUUAUUUAAAAACUUUACUAAAUUAAUCAAUAAUUCGAGUUUAUAGCGACUGAAUAUGAACUAAUCAAUUGCUAAUAUAUUAUUAUAUAUAAUUAAUUUUCAAAACUGAAACGUAAUCUUACAAGUUUAAGGGACACUACUCAAAAAAAAAAGAAAAAAACUCGAGGGGCCUGCAUCAAAAUGCUCUAUAGUUAAGGUUUAUUCCGUACAAUUACUCUUUAUCUCAACCGUUCUUUUCUUAUUAUUUUCUCAGCCGUUCUUUUGUUAUUAUUAUUAAUUUUUUAAAAUUUGGUCAAAGAUACACUAAUGUGCUCCUCAUUGGUGGAAAAUCUAAUUAUGGGAUACACUCUGAACAGCGUAUCCAUAUUCCAUAAACACCAUGCAAUUCUCAUUUGUGGGAAUAAUCAUUACAAAAUGCCCUAAAACUAUUUCCCUUCAUUAUGCGUCCACCACGAUAGCCACAGAUCAUCUACAUUAAUUUCUAAAGCUACAUAUUUUGAAAAUAAAAGAACAAUUUUUGAAUAAAAAGCAGCUCAAUUCAAUACUCAAUAGAUGGUAUUGGUAUGGAAUAUUGAAACAUUUUUUUUAAAAAAAAAAGGGUCCAAAAAAGAAAUUUGUGGUGGACUCGGUCUAGGAAAGAAAAUGACGCAUAAAAAGCAUGUCCUCGUGAGAAAAAAUGAGCAACGUGGUCCAACCAACUCUUCCAAGCAACAGAACCCCUUCUAUACGUUAUUUAAGAAGAUAAACUGUUAAUAUUUAAGGUAUCAAAAAAUGCCCUUUCUUUUUUAAUCAUUUUUCUUAUUCUUAUAUUAUAUCCCAUAACUCUCUCUCUCUCUCUCUAAAUGUGUGUAUAUAUAUAUAUAUAUAUAUAUAUAUAUAUACCCUUAAGUUGUUAUUAAUAUAAUAGAGUUUGAGUCAAAGCACUGCACAUGUAUAUGGCUUGCUAAAGAGCGCUUAGAAGGAGUACUGGGCAAGAUGAAGAGUUGUGUUGAUGGAGAGGAGGGGAUGUGUGGAUCCAUAAAUGAAAAGAGAAAGAGUGCUAUAGCCGCUAUAAAAUCGUCGACGAGAGGAGUCGGUAUCGUCUUCGUUGCGCUUUUCCUUCUCGUAGUUUUGAUUCCUUCGCGAUGGAUCGACCGUGUUGUGAGUACUUCUCAAAUUCUUUCUUAAGCUUCCUCUUUGAGUUUACGAACCAUUUUCAUUGUAAAAAACAAGCAUGCAUGAUAAAUUUAUGGGCAUAAUAAGCAUGAUUCUUCUUCUUAUUUUUUAUUUGGAAUUGCACCUUUUUUUAAAAAAAAAAACUCACACACCGAUUAUGAUGCAACGUGGGAGACAAAACUAUAAAAUGUGUUCUUUUAAAGGGAAAAAAAAAAAGAGAAAGAAACGGAUUCACCUCUUGUUAAAAGAUUUGUUCAUCAUCGUGAAAAAAAAAAAAUAAAUAUUGAAGUUUUAUAAAAGAAUAUUUAUUAGUAAAAGUUUCGGCACAAUAUAUGUUUUUUUCCUCCUUUUAUUUUUCCUUUUGUGAUUGUUGAAGUUUUUUCUUAUUAGUUGGAGAGAUUCUAAAUUGAAAAAAAAAACCAUAUACGAAGCAUGAGCUUUGAUAAUUAUAGAAAAGAUUCUAUUGAGGUUAACUUAAUUAACCACCGUAAUCGUUUUGAUAGUUAAGAAUAUUUUGGACGAUUCCUUAAAUUUUGGGAUGAUUUAAAUUUAGUGCAUUAAUUGUCCGCAAAAUUAUGCUGCAAUCGAAGUUAGGAUUAUUAUUUUCUAGAAAGGGAAUUUAUUAGAAUAUAAAAAAUAUGUCACCUUAGUGGUUACAGUAAUUAUUUUUCUUUCAUUCGUAAGUGAAAGUCAAUGUACGUAAUCAAGUAGAAAAAUCUUUUAUGUAAUUCAUGAUAAUGACAUGCACCAUAUGAGCACUGAUUUUUCUUCCAUUAAUUCCUCUACACUUUAGACUGGGACUAAUAUUCAAUAGCCGUGAAUUGAUUUACAACCGCGUUUAUUUAGGUGGGAGUAGACUUUUGAAUGAAUUAAAAUUCAUGAAAAAAUUAUUUUUCUUCAUCCUUUUGUUUGUAUAAUUGUGAAAUUGAAGUUUUUUUUCGUAUUUAUGUUUAUUUAAUAGAAAGUGUUAAAAGUUGAAGACGUCAGAGAUAAGUUAAUAUUUUAUAAUUUUUUUUCUUUGUUUUCCGUAAUUGACUUUGACUUGGGAUGAGCCGGAGUCAAUUAUGUUAUUUUGAAGAGUUUGAGUUUCGAUUGAAGUUGAAGUUACAGUAAAACCACGCAACAAAGUGAAACUAAAAAUAUUAAAGAAGCUUAUGAAUAGAUAUAUCUGUUAAUCCCUUGCUUAAAAAAACAAACUUUUCAAAUGCUCCUGUUUUCAUACUUCUUAGUAAAAAAUUCUGAUCAUAAUUUUGUAGCAUUAGAUUGACGAUGACAAAUGACAAUGAUAUUUUCGAGUUAUUUUGAAGCUCGGAAACACCUGUAUAAGACUUUGUUAAUUGACUUGACCUUGUGAACCACUCAGGCGUCUGAGUCCAAACAUACUCCUUUCCUAUAAGAUGGUGACUUAAAUGGUGCUCUCCUAUAGGAUGUGACUUAAGUUGUGAUAGAGAAUCUAGAAGAUAUUGGCCACUGUUUUUGGCCCAGAAAAUUUAGGCGAAUUUAAUUUUUUUGUUUUUGAGAUAAUAUAGUAGUAUGUUACCCUUAAAAAUGUGAAACAAUUACACCAUAUUUGAAUUAGGUACAGGAGGGAAAUAAGGCCUGGUUACAAGAAGUUCCCCAUAGGGGGCGUUUGGAUUGGCGAAUUUGUAGAUUCAACGUAAGUCAAGUAUAGUGGUGUUUGAGUUUUCCUGAAGUGUGAUUAUUUUUCUGUUGUUUGUUUUGACGUAACUCGUACCACUGAAAGUUAAAUUCAAUCACUUCUGCUGUUUGUUUUGAUGUAACUUGGUGCUGGUAAAAUUAGUUUUUUGAGUUCCGUUGUUUGUUUUGAUGUAAGUAAGUGGAUCCCAUUAUCUCCUAAAUAUAGUAAUAAAUUUAUCACUAUAAAAUUUAACCUAUUAUAUAAUUAAAUUUUUUAUUAUUAUUUAAAGAUAAUCUUAAUUUAUUAUAAAUAAAGUAAUUCUAACCCAUUAUAAAGAAAGUAGAGUUUAGAUUUUACUGUUUAAUAAAUUGUUUAGAGAAGGUUGAGUGUGGUGGAAGUCGAGUUCGGUACUUUAGAGCCGGAAGUCGAGAGUAGGUGAAGUGGAGCUCUAACGUAACUUGAGUUACAUUAUAUUUUUCACUUACACCAAAACAAAUAACGGAAGUGAUGGAACUUGAGUUCCAUCACUCCACUUACACCAAAACAAACGGGCCCAUAUUGUCGAGAGAGAUAGUAAUAGUAUGUUACCCUUGAAAAUGUGAAACAACUACAGUUACUGCACCAUGUUUGGACCCCUACAAGAGGGGGGAUAAGGCCCGGGUACAAAAGGUUCCCCAUGUGGUCGAGAGAGAGGGAGAUAUUUUUUUAUUAUUUUUUAUUUAUAACUAUUCAUUAUUCUUCUUAGAACCAAACGAAAUUUUAAUUUUCGAACUUGAAGUCUUAUAUAUCAAUCAUCAAAUUUUUUACCAUCUAUAUAUGCUUAGGACGAUCGGUUUAAUCUUCAAAAUGCUAAAAACUAUGAAUCUCAAACUUUCGAGUUUGAGAACCAAUCAAACUAGAAUAAGGCUAAAAGGUUUAGAGCAUAGUAAACAUUGAAACUAUGAACGUAAAACUUACAAGUUUGAUAACCAAGCAAAAAAAAAAUAUGAAUAAAAAGUUUAGAGCAUAGGAUCGCAAUGAUUUAUUUACGCAUUCAAGUUUGAAUUGUUUAAUUUGAAAUACUUUGAUUUUUGUUUAAAAAUUAUUAAUAUUUUGUGAAAUAUAUAGUGUUAAUUUUUGAAUGUUUGCAUGAAUUAAUAGAAAAAAAAAAAUCCUACAUCAUGUAUGUUGACAAAUUUAUAGCCUAUAUAUAAUUUAGGGGCAUUUUGGGGUACCUGUAACACUUUGUUUUCCUCUGCACGCAGUCCUUCGUACUAACAAACAACGAGGAGAGCUCGUCCCACGGUGGCCACGCCCACCCCAAAAAGUCCCCACGAAUCCCCAUCUCCUUCACCUGCCCUAACGCGACAUCCGUCGAACGCCUCUCCUGCACCCGGAGAGCACCACCAUUAUCAACCUCUCCCUCCCCUUCCCCCUCCCCCACCCCCUCAUCCUCCUCCUCCGAACCCUCCCCUUCCACUGCUGCUACUACUGCUGCUGCUGCGUGCCCCGGCUACUUCCGCUACAUCCACGAGGACCUGCGCCCAUGGCGGGGCCGCGGGGGGAUCACGCGCGCGGCGGUGGAGGAGGCGCGGAGCCUCGCGCACUUCCGGCUCGUCGUGCUCGGCGGGCGCGCCUUCGUGGAGCACUACAGCGGCGCGUUCCAGACGCGGGACGUGUUCACGCUGUGGGGGGUGCUGCAGCUCCUNCCCACGAAUCCCCAUCUCCUUCACCUGCCCUAACGCGACAUCCGUCGAACGCCUCUCCUGCACCCGGAGAGCACCACCAUUAUCAACCUCUCCCUCCCCUUCCCCCUCCCCCACCCCCUCAUCCUCCUCCUCCGAACCCUCCCCUUCCACUGGGACUGCUGCUGGUACUAAAACUUGCCCGGGUUACUUCCGCUACAUCCACGAGGACCUGCGGGCAUGGCGGGGGGCGGACGGGAUCACGCGCGCGGCGGUGGAGGAGGCGCGGAGCCUCGCCAACUUCCGCCUCGUCGUGCUCGGCGGGCGCGCCUUCGUGGAGCACUACAGCGGCGCGUUCCAGACGCGGGACGUGUUCACGCUGUGGGGGGUGCUGCAGCUCCUCGCCCGCUACCCGGGCCGCGUCCCCGACCUCGACCUCAUGUUCAACUGCGACGACCCGCCCGUCGUCCGCUUCGACAGCUACCGCGCCGGCGAAGGCCCCUCUGCGCCGCCGCUGCCGCCGCUGUUCCGCUACUGCAAGGAACCCGCCACCGCCGACAUCGUCUUCCCUGAUUGGUCCUUCUGGGGUUGGUAAUUAUUUGAUCAAAUCUCUCACUAUUUGCUUCCAAUUUUUUGCCGUGAGAUUAAAAUUAUUCAGUAGUUUUGGGUUUUUAAUGCUAAAUUAUAUGAAACAAUCAUACCGGAGGAGGAGGAGGAGGAGGGUGUUUUUAAUAUUUAUAUUCAACCCUGGCUCGAGACAUUUCGAUACACCUAAAACAUGGACUUUUAAUAUUUCUAUUCAACAUUUAACACAUUUAGAGUCCUAUAAUUUCGAGGCCCAAAAGGAGAAAAUGCCCUGAAAUUUAUUGCUUGUUGUAUAAUGAAACCUUGAAUCAAGACCCAUAAAAGAGUCACAUUUAAGUGAAUAAGUAUGUAAUAGGAGAAGCUUUUGUGGUAAUGAUGUUUGAUCAGUGUUGUACGGCAAAAAUAGAUCUCUUUUUGUUUUUUCGUAAGAAAGAACUAAAAAUUGUCGUAACGUCGCCCAGCUGUAGCUGAAUUAGAAGUUUCCAAUUGGAGCUUAGAUAUGUUGGACUUAGAAACUCAUUCCAACAACAACAGCAGCUCAUGUUUAGCCGCCGCUUCGUAUAAUAGAAAAGUUAUUUAAAAAAUGAAGCCAAAUUGGCUCUACAAUGAGUGGAAGGAGUAGGACAAGUACCAAUGUCCCAAAUUUGCCAUGUUGCAGAGCUUAAUUUCUACCCGAGAAGUAUAAGUCAGGUUGUUGUUCUCGAGCUUCAACCAAAGCAAGAAGUGGCAAACAAGCCUUUUCUGUCGGGGAGUUGGACUGCUAGCUUCAUUAGAAACUUAUUGGGUAAAUUAGAAAACUAUAACUGCUCUUUCAAGCUGCUCCACUUAAACGGGGCUUUGCAGUACUCGCAAUUUGCAAGUGCGCAUCAAAAAUCUCUCUUGGAAUUUUGCUGCAAUAUCUGUUCAGUCUUAAUCUGAUAUUCAGAUUUAAUAGGCCGGAGGUCAACAUAAAGCCAUGGGAGCCGCUUUUGGUGGAUCUUAAAGAAGGCAACGAGCGAGUUAAAUGGAAGGACCGGGAACCUUAUGCCUUCUGGAAGGGCAACCCAUGGGUGGCUGGAACUCGGCAGGACCUCCUCAAGUGCAAUGUCUCCAAUGGCCGCGAGUGGAAUGCUCGGCUUUUUACACAGGUACAUUUCAUGAAAAGUUGUAUCGCGCACCCACCCUGUCUCAUUCAUAAGUAUGUUUAAACUCAUCUUCGUGGUGCUUGUAGAAUUGGGAAAGUGAGAUCCGGAAUGGAUUCAAGGGAUCAAACCUGGCUGACCAAUGCUUAUACAGGUAAUUUACUGCCGACUCGACCAUUGCUCCCAUUUUACCUUGUAUAAGCGCAAGGUUACCUUUAUAGUGUAUUGAUGCUUGAUGGUUUGGUAUGGUUGUUUGAUCAUUUAAUGUAUAUUUUAAUUUAAUGCUUUGAUGCUACGUUCUUCAGUUCACUAAUUUUUCGUUGGAAGUUUUAUUCUGACCGUCAGGCUACCUAAUGUUCUCUAAUUGCAGAUAUAAGAUCUAUAUUGAGGGACGGGCGUGGUCGGUGAGUGAGAAGUACAUUUUGGCGUGCAACUCACCAACUCUGUUAGUGACGAGUAUGUACCAGGACUUUUUUACGAGGGGAUUGAUGCCGGGUCACCAUUACUGGCCAAUUAGGCCCGACCAUAAGUGCCCGUCAAUCAAGUUCGCUGUGGACUGGGGCAACAAGCACCAGAAAGAGGUAACCAUGCUAGUUUUAAUUUUUCAUACUCGAGAUAUUGUAGAAAAUUACGAUUUCCAGCCUACUAAGUUCGUCAGGUUUAAUUCAAGUCCAUUCAGGGAUCGGGAUUUUCUUGUUCCAUCCGAGACAGGUUAUGCUAGACUUGAGUUGUCAUUGAAACAUUAGAUCUAAUUGAGCAUCGAGUCCUACCAAGUGGUACAUUACACCUAAAUGUAAUUGUCAGUGCUUUUUGAGAAUGAAAAAGUAACAGGAAAAAGUGAGGGUGUUUGGUUUGAGCAUAGCUCUAUUCUCGACAGGCUAUUCACGAUGAUAAAGUGCUUCAUAGGUGUUAGGUAUCCUAAUAAGUUCUUGUGGUGUAUGCGGUUCACUCCGUGUUCAUUAAUUUGUUUAGAUCAUAUGUAACAUUGUGAUCGAUGUCUCAUUUGCAAUGUUGCUCUUACUAAUCUCUGUAACUAAAACAGGCGCAAGCUAUAGGAAAGGCGGGGAGCGGCUUCAUUCAAGAGGAAGUGAAGAUGGACUACGUAUACGACUACAUGCUGCACUUACUAACCGAGUACGCGAAGCUCUUGCGGUAUAAACCUACCGUGCCCGAGAAGGCUACUGAGUUGUGCUUGGAAUCCAUGGCUUGCGCCGCCGAAGGGCUCGUGAAGACAUUCAUGAUGGACUCGAGGGCGAAAUGGGUCCAUGAUUCGGAACCGUGCACGUUGCCGCCUUCCUUCGAUCCUAAAGAGCUCAAAGAGAUAUCUAAAAGAAAAGAUGAGGCAAUAAAACAAGUGGAAAUGUGGGAGAGAAAAGCAUAAUCCGCGGAGCAAAAUUGUUAGUUAUAUCCGGAAAAAAAGAGUAAGUUUUAUAUAAUUCGCCCUUCCAAAAUUUACAGCUUUUUGUCUUUUUUACAGUAGAAUUGAGAGCAAGCACAUAAUUUUUCAGUUUCGCAUCUUGGCUAUUUAGAAUAUCGUCUAUGAAACCAAUGUAGAGGAACAGCAAGUCUAAAAUUGUUUUACAAAUGUGAAUGAUUAACAUAUAUUGCUUUACAGAAAAUAAUAAAGUUAUGUUAAACUUGUGAUUGAGGUCUCAGUGAGUCAAAUUUUAUUUGGAACUCUUUUGCUUUUGAGUUUUUUUUUUUUUAUUUAUUGAGAAAUAGAUCAUAUUACCCGUUUCGUUUAUUUCAUUUAAAAAUAAACUUAGCUGGAAAUAUGAAUCAAUUAGGAUUCAAAUUGGGGAUCUCGGGUACCAGCUACAAAGUUUUUUGCCACUUGCGCUAUGGAUAGUCGGUUUUGGGUUCGAUCGGUGAGCUCUCUAAACUUAAUUUGUCAAAGUGUUGCCACCUUUUAAGCAAUGCGGCGCAGAUCUCGACAAUUUGAAUGGUCUAAGUUCACUUUAUUUAUUAUCUUAGGACCUUUUAUUAAAAUUUUAUGUUGCACUCUAUUCUAUAUCUUUACAUAGAGACGCAUCAAGAGAACGUGAUUGGCGUUCAGGACAUAUGACUCUCCUCCUAUUAAAGAAGUGUACAUUAUAAUACUUACACCUCUCCUAUUAAAGAUGAAGUCUACAUUGUAAUAUUUAUACCGCAUUAUUUAUAUUUAGUCAAUCAUUUUUUUUUUAGAUAAAAGAAUAAUAAUUUUUUAAAAAAAUCAUAAUGGGAUGGGUGAUUUCUAAGAAAGUUUUUUGAUUAGUUGGAGACAUCGAAUCAGUAAUAUAAGUGUUACACUUUAGGAUUUUUUUUUUUUUCUCUUUAGGGGCUGUUUGAUUAGGCAAAAAAUAUAAAAAAUGUUUUUUUGAAAAAAAUUUCUAUAAAAAAUUGCUUUUUCUACAAAAAAGAAGUGUUCUAAUAUUUUUUCUAAAUUUUAUGAAAAACUAAUGUUUUUGUUAUUCGGUUUUUUUAGAAAAAAAAAAUAUUAUUUUUCAUAAAAUAUGAAAUUUUUUUCCAAAUAUGGUAGUUUGCCUUAGAACCAAAUAAAAGGAGGACACUUUUUUAAGUAACCACAGCUUCUUAAUCAAAAUGGCACAGAUAUUUGAAAAGUCAGGUUUAAUAUACAAACUAAUGUAGGCACCUUCGGAAUAAAAAAGAAUACACAUACAAGAAACUGAAAAAGAAGCAGCAGCUGCAGUAGUAAAAAUAUAAAAAUAAAAAUAUAAGAAAGAUAAAAAAAAUAAGAAAAAAAUUAUAAGAAUAAUAAAUUAUAUUUAAAGAAGGACUAAAAUAUCAUAUGUCUCAUAUUUGAGCAAAAAAUUAUAACGCAUGAAAGUUCGAGAACUAAAGUUUCACGCAUCAUAUAGUUUGAGGGCCAAAAGUGUAAUUUACUAUUUUUUAUAUUUUUAAUUCAAAUGAAAAUGGAGUUGAGCAUUAAUCGAUUUUGUUCAAUUAAUAAUUUCAUAUGAGGAAAAAAUAUAUUAAAAUAUCUAAUAAAUUUUAGAAUGCCUAAUUAUUAAAAUUAAAAGUCUACCAAUUAUAUUUUGGAUAUUUUAAAAAAUUUUAAAUAUAAAAUUGAUCCCUCAUCAGGCUAUAAAUAUGGCACUAAAAUUUGAUAUUAAAACCAAAAUAAAAAUAUAUAAAACUUUUCUAAACUAUGAAUUAUUUUGAUUUAACUAUCUAAUCUUUCAAAAUUUUGUUUUAACAAUUCAAUCUUUCUAUAUGUUAGAUUUGAACCGGUCAAUAAUAUUUUGAUUUUAAAAUUUGAAUGCGUCAUUUAAUUUACAAAUUUAGUUCGUAUACUUCGUACGAUUCUUGAAACCAAAAUUUAUUAAAAUCAUUAAUUAACUUAAACUAAAUCAAUCUCUCAUAUUUUUUAUUAUAUAAUCUACAUCUAAGUGAUUAAUAUUAUAAAAUCAAAAUUUAUAUUUAAUGUAUGAAAUUUAAACUAUUUAAAAAUUAUGUGUUUAAAUUUAUAUAAUUAGAGAAAAAAAAUUAGAUUAGAUUAAUAAUAAAAAAAACUCAAAUCCCUUUGUCCAGAAUAGUUGCGCGAGAGAGGGGACAAAAAAAAAAAAAAAAAAAAAAAAAAAAAAAAAAAAAAAAAAAAAAGAGGCCCCACCCUCACCCCUAUCCACCGGGGCCCCACCCGCACGGCCGCACCCUCCAAUUCCCACCUACUCUCUCUUAAUGGCACCUGUAUAGUGAACUAAGGUUGCAUAUUUUCUAUAGAUAGAUUAUUAAACUAAAUGAGAGGAGAGGAAUUAAUAUUUAGAAAAAAUUUUAACUAUCACUUCUGUAAUUUUAUAUUUUCUUAUUUUAUUAUUCUGUAAUUUAAAGUGUAUUAAUUUAGUAUUCCGUAAUUAUAUUUUUAUUCUUUUAUUAUUGAUUUUAUUAAUUUUUUUUGUUAAAUCGGUAACAAAGUUCAAACUCAAAAGUAUUAAAAUAAAUAUUUGAUAAAAUUUAGAUAGAAUAUUUAAUUUUUUUUAUACAUAAUUUAAUAAAAAAUUAACGAAAAAAAUACGAAACCACAAUAUUUAAUAGCGGUGCACGCGUAGAAGCACAAAAAGGGAGGAUAUAGACAACUAGGACGUCAAAUGAGUAGAAACGGUUACGAACAGUCCCCCUCAAAAGUCAACACUACCCCCCAAAUUGCUAGGCUUAGCCUCCUCCACACCUCGUCCCCUCACGCUUUCCACCUUCGUCUUAAUUUCUGUUUUAAGAUGCUCUCCCCUGAAAUAGAAACCAACUUAUUAAUCUUCGCAACAAGAUUAUUAUAAACUACUCAUCAUUGUAAGAGAGAAGAGUAGAGUUCGGAUAUAUAGAGUAUUCGUCAUGAAGAGCACUUGUGUUGGGGCGUCGGAAGGCGUCGACAGUGGCGGCGGCGGCGACAGAGCUGAAAAUGAAAGGGCGAAGAGCGCGGUAGAGAGUAUACACUCUUCCGUGAAAGGCGUCGGUGUCGUCUUCGUCGCGCUUUUGGUCCUCGUCGUUUUGAUCUCCGCGCGAUGGGUCGACCACGUCGUAUGCACCUCUAUGACGAUCGUCGUCGCAGGAUUCUUUUGAUUUAGUUUCUUUCCUUACCUCUGAAUUUUUCUUCUUCUGUUUUUUUUUACUGAGCUAUAAGUGCAAAUGCUUCUACAGUAGCGGCAUGGUUAUUUUAAAUUUUUAGUUGUAAUGCCAUUGCACUUGUGAUGAGUUUAUAGAUAGAAUUUGUAUCUGAUCGAUUAAUUAUUGAGUCAUGUAAAAAGAAACUAUGAUUGAUUUUUUGAGCAUCAGGAAAUAAUGAAACGCUGAUUCUAUCUGUUUUGGCUGCGCGUGCAGCCCUUCCUCCUAAAGACCAGCAGCAGCAGCAGCAGCAGCAGUACAGUCACAGAGAAGCAGAUAUCCUCCCACUAUGACCAUGCGCACCCCAAAAGAAUCCCCAUCUCCUUCGCGUGCCCUCCUAAUGGGACAUCCGUCGAACACCUCUCCUGCACACCGAGAUCACCACCACUACGUACCACUAGGACUGCUGCUGGUACUAAAACUUGCCCGGGUUACUUCCGCUACAUCCACGAGGACCUGCGGGCAUGGCGGGGGGCGGAGGGGAUCACGCGCGCGGCGGUGGAGGGGGCGCGGCGGUUCGCGCACUUCCGGCUGGUGGUGCUGGGCGGGCGCGCGUUCGUGGAGCGCUACGCGCGGCCGUACCAGACGCGCGACGUGUUCACGCUGUGGGGGAUCCUGCAGCUCCUCGCGCGCCGCCCGGGCCGCGUCCCCGACCUCGACCUCAUGUUCAACUGCGAGGACCCGCCCCUCGUCCUCCUCGACCGCUACCGCCGCCGCCGCCCCGACGCGCCGCCGCUGCCGCCGCUCUUCCGCUACUGCAAGGACCACGCCUCCGCCGACAUCGUCUUCCCCGACUGGUCCUUCUGGGGCUGGUACGCAAUUUACAUAUCUGUUCAUUUGUUUCUUUGUUUGUUUGUUUAUUUCCUUCAUUAUUUGGUACUGUUUGUGCUUCUUUAUUAUUAUUAUUAUUAUUAUUAUAUUACUAUUACUAUUAAAAUAAAAUUAAUGUCGCUUCCUUUGUCGCUAUCAAGUAUAUCGAGACAUAAUGUUGCGGUACAGGAAGGUCUGGUUGGGCCGGUACUCGGUUUCCUAACUACUCCAUGUGAAAGCCAUUGCAGUAAAUAGGUCGACUGAGGAAGAGAUUCCACUGUAUAUCAAUCACAUUAUAUUAUUUAUUAAUAAUUAAUUAUUAUUAUUAUUAUUUUUUUUGAGAGAUAGAUAGCACGCUAUCCGCUUCGUUUAUUUCAUUUAGAAAUAAACUUAGCUGAAAAUAUGAAUCAAUUAGGAUUCGAACUUGGGUCUCGGAUACCAACCAUCAAGUCUUUUGCCACUUGCUCUAGGAACGGUCAGCAUGCGGAAGUAAUUAACUAUAAAAAAUUAUUUUUUCUUACUUAGGGCAUAUUAGUAUCGAGGAUUACCAAAUAUUUUUUUUUGAAAAAAAAGCAACAUGCUAUUUAUUUCGUUCAUGUUGUUUACAAAUAGAUUUAGUUGAAAAUAUCAAAUAAUAAUUUUUGAACUUGAGAUCUCGAAUACAAAUUAAUAAAUUUUUUGCCACUUGUGCUGGGAAAGGCUGGUGAUUGCUUAAUAUUAAUAAGCGGAAAAGAGUCGGCCUAAGAGGACGUCAAUAUAUACAUUUCUACUUUUAAUGGUAAAAUAUAUAUAUAUAUAUAUCUUAGCCAAACUGAUGUGAUAUUUCCUGAGGUGUAGUUAUUUAUGAAAAUAAAUAAAUAUAUGUAUAUAUUUUGCAUGUGAAUUUGAUAGGCCGGAGAUUAAGAUAAAGCCAUGGGAGCUACUUUUAGAGGAUCUGAGGAAGGGGAGCGAGAGAGUGAAAUGGAAAGAUAGAGAACCCUACGCGUUUUGGAAAGGAAACCCAAGUGUUUCCCCGAGCCGAGAGGACCUUCUCAAGUGCAACGUCUCCAAUGGCCAAGAGUACAAUGCUCGGCUCUUUACACUGGUAUCAGCAUAAAAAACUUGCUUUUAAGCCAACUUUUCAUGGUCAUUUUACAGCAUACCCCUGCAAAAUUUUUUAUUUGAUAUUAUAUUGAUAUUUUGGAUGCCAUUAUAUCACUACUAAAGCAUCCGAUUCCAUCACUACUAAAGCAUCUGAUUCUUGUAAAAAUUUUAAUGUUUUCACAUAUACCCAUACCGGUAGAAAUCCGUUAAACAAAUAUAGUUAACCAUAGAUAAAAUACUUAAACCUAGUUAAUAAUGUGGUAAAUUGACUUUUUUACCGCUCUUAUUUUAUUUGUGAUGGUAGAAAGGAAAAAAAUAUUCGUUGGAGAUUUUUGGAAGAACAUUUCUGUAUAAUUACAACAAUUAGAGUUUUUGGAGGGAUAUAUUUGUGAUGGAAAAAAUAUUAUUUCACUUAUUUUCUAUUAAAAAAUAAAUGGUGCUUUAAUGGUAACAAAUCAAAGGGAUAAACAUAUGUAUCAUUGGACAUUUGUAAGGAUAAAUAUGAAAAGUUAAACUUUAGAGGGAUAUAUUUGCUAUUCGAUAUAUUUAGCUGUAUGAAGCUAACCCUUUAUGAAAUAUGCUAAUCUUAACUUGGGGGGUCAUCCAAUUCGUGAAAAAAUUGAUUUUUUACAUGAACAAUUAAGUUUUUGUAGAGGGUAUUCUUGUUAGUAGGUAAUCAAGUUUGAUUUUCUGAGACAUACAAGUAAAUGGCUGAUUUUAUGGAGAAUAUUCACGUAAAUGUUUGUGUAUCAUAAUACCUUUGCCCUUUUAUACUUAUCUCCACACAUAGUACAACUAUAUUUCAGCUAAUUUUUGAGUAGUGGUUUUGUAGAACUGGGACAGUGAGACCCAGAGUGGAUUCAAGAAAUCAGACCUAGCUAGCCAGUGUGUAUACAGGUAAUUUAAUUUAAUUUUUGUAGACCCAUCGUUCCAUCAUUUGACACAAGUGCAUAUUUAAAGUAAACUUAUUUUUAACCUAAUGCAUUUUGUGGUUUUGAUAGUCUGUUCAUAAAGGUCUAAACCUUUGUUGUGGAUGUUACUUGAACUUCAUGGUGUUUUGGUACAGGUAUAAGAUUUAUAUUGAUGGCAAGUCGUGGUCGGUGAGCGAGAAGUACAUCUUGGCAUGCGACUCGCCGAUGUUGCUGGUGACGACUCCGUACCAGGACUUCUUCACGCGGGGAUUGAUGCCGGGUCACCAUUACUGGCCGAUUAAACCCGAUCGGAAGUGCCAAUCGAUCAAGUUUGCCGUUGAUUGGGGCAACAGCCACCCAGAUGAGGUAGUCAUACACUUAUUUCAAACUUGAAACAAUAAAUAGCAGAACAGAAAACUUGUUGUAGGAUAUAAUUUUCUAUUUCGAGAAGUAAUAGUCAGAUGUUUGACAAUGAAAGUUUCGGAGCUUCUAUACUAAUGUAAGAUAAGCACUUGCUUUCUGGCCUAAAGCAAAAGUCUCUUCUUGUGCUGCAACUGAGUCUAGAGAACUUGUAGAACAAUUGUUAGCGCUCUACUAAAAAUAUACUUUUGCAUAAGCUCUAGUCAUGCCAAAUAGACUCGAAAGUAUAUGUUUGGUUUGACCUGCUGAAUGAAAAAUUCUAACCCUUUUAGGGCUACCUACACCAAAUCAGCAAGUUUGCGAAUCGCAGCUUGGCCAAACAGGUCCUAUUUUCCAUGGCCAUGUGUCAGCAAAGUUGUUAUCCCGAGAACAAGCCCAUUGAGGAAGAAGCCCUGGGUUCGGUUCCACAGGGAUUUUUUUGGGCCGCGCGCAUCCGACUCAAGCUUAUCAUACCCAACCCCUUAACAUACAGGGCUCAAUGUCAAGUUAGGUGUAGAGAGCUGUAGGUUUGGUGAAUUUGAGGCCUAAUUAGUCUUUGUUUGGGUUUAACUAGUUCGGAUUCGGAUCAGAACCAUCUAAUUUGAUUCAUUCAGUAUAGGGUCAGUAGCAUAUCAACAUAUAUAUAAGUACUUUUGUUUAUGAUCAAUGUCUUAGUUUCUCUUAAUGUACCUCAAAACUACGCAACUCCUAAAUUCCUGAUCCUGUGAAUCGAACAGGCACAAGCUAUAGGAAAGGCGGGAAGCGGCUACAUUCAAGAGGAAGUGAAAAUGGACUACGUAUAUGACUACAUGUUGCACUUACUAACAGAGUACGCAAAGCUCUUGAGGUACAAACCAACUGUGCCCGAGAAGGCGACCGAGCUGUGCCUGGAAUCGUUGGCCUGCGCCGCCGAAGGGCUCGAGAAGACGUUCAUGAUGGACUCAAUGGCGAAAUGGGUCCACGAUUCGGAUCCGUGCACAAUUCCGCCUCCAUUUGACCCUAAAGAGCUAGAAGAGAUGUCUCGGAAAAGAGACGAGGCAAUAAAACAGGUAGAGAUGUGGGAGAAUAGCUAUAGUUAGAGCACAAUUUGGGGAGAAUUGCAAGUUAUAUUGGAAGGAAUAUAUGUAUGUUCAAUGUUUUUUUGAUUCACAAUGUGUAGAGUAACAGUACAAGCUAAUGUGGGUUAACUAUAGUCGAAAAAUACAAAUAAGCUAGUUCAAUGCUUGUCUUAAUAAGCCAAUUUUAAGGCUCACAGGCUAAAUUUCUUCUCAAAGCAUGGAGAAUUGAUGAGUAUUUAGUCCUUGGAGUUUGAAUUGAGUUAAUUUGGGUGACCUGAGUGAGGUGUAGAGAAUAUAAAGCAUUAGAGAUUUGAACCUGUCACGGUUUCGGUUGAGGUGGAAUGAGUUUUACAUGCGGUUAAUGGGACGAGAGCGGGUUUGAAACCCUAUAUAUAUAUAUAUAUAUAUAUAUUUUUCACACAGGUAAGGUAUAGAGUGACGCGCGCUUUAAACCCGCCCCACUAUGAUCCCUACCAAUGUUGGUGGGUCAUCACUCAAUCAUACUCUCCGAGUGAAUUAUUUGGGGGAAAUAAUUAGCUGCUACUCAAUGUUGGUGCAGUGAGUUAAUGAAGUAGAAACAGUCACAUACUCAGAAAAUAGCAGCCCAACUUUUGAGCCUUGGCUUCAAAGGUGAGGAGAUGGCGAACGAAGAGAGGGAUGUUAACUUUUCACUGCCGCAAGAACGAAUGCUUGCUCUUCACACCAACUUGGUUGGCCAAUUCUUAAGCUAGAAGCUAAUAGGAAUUGAAACAAAGUUAGAUCAGAAACUUAGUAUCGAAGCUAAGGUUACAAGUAAAAAAGAAGAUAACACUAUUGUUAGUGAAAGCUCCAAAGUAGCCAAUUUCCUAAAGUUUGUUGAUUGAAUACUAUAAGUGGGAUUAGCUAGCUACGGGCGGUGAUGUGAGACUUAACAACAUUGAUUAUGUGGACCCUCCUAUAAACAGCAUACGCUCAAUUACAGAUUGCCACCUGUGCUUACUCGAUAGUCAUUCUGUUUUAUUUGAUUAAAAAGAAUUACGAGAAAAAUCAAUCGAAUGUACCGCUGAUUGAAACUAUAGCUGAUUUCAACUUUCAUGGUUCGAACAACUACGUACCUGCAAUUUUCGCGCUUUUGUGAAAUCAAAAUGAAAUACUCGAAAUGUUCAGUUAAUGGUGCCUUUAUUUAAACAAGCUAUUGAAAGCAACAACAUAUCUACCUUAUUUUCUUUUGAAUUUUCUAUGGUGGAAAGUGAAAGGUGAUGAUGGUUCAUGAGGGACCAUUUGUUCCAAAGGAGCUAGCAAGAGAGGAGCCCAAGGGAGUAUCAUCUGAAAAAAGGAAAAGAGAUCUUCAGAUGUGUAUUAAUAUAUGUUGUCACAUAAGCACAUGGAUAUGUGUUAAUAGCACAAGAUAAAGUGACAAAUGGGUCCCCUUUUUUUGUGCAUGCCUUGCAUCAUAGAUGCUUGAAACCAAGAUCCAGUGGGUGUAGUAUCACUGUUUAGUUACCAAAAGGGCCCUACAACUUGUCAAUUUUUCUGUCCUGAUCCAGUGGGUGUAGUAUCACUCUCUUUGCUCUCACUUAUGUAUCAGUAUUCUAUUGCUUUCGACUAUAGUUGGUUUGCUUCUAAGUACAGCUAGAAUUACGCGAAGCCGAAAUACUAAUACAUCAUUAUUUUUUUUUAGGAAAGGUAGCAAGCUACCUGCUUCAUUCAUUGAAAGUAUGAACUAGGCUACAGGAGUGAGGCAACCCGGACCUCUAAGAACGAUACAACAGUCAUAAAAAAAAAAAAAAAAAAACCCAAUCUAAAGGACCGGUCGUAAGAGGGGUUCCCAGGACUUCAGAAGCUGCUUAAUUCGUUGUACAACCAAAAUAGGGUCGAAAUGGACGUUUCGAAAGAUCAAAUCAUUUCUGGCCUUCCAAAUGGUCCACCAGCAAGCAACCAAUUCAGGUAAGCUAUUAUGCUUAUUAUGCAUCCCUUUCUUGGCCAAAAUACAUCAUUAUUUAUUUGCAUGAAAUGUUGAGAACCUAAGAUUAUUUUCCUACCUUUUAUAUAUUCGUUUGCUUGUGAUAUGUUCUACAUGGUAUUGACAAGAAGAUCUCUCUCUUGUAAUAUGCAAAAACGGCCACUUGAAGUACCAUUCCAAAGUAUAAGACUCUAUCAUACAUUCAUAAAAUCAGAUCGAAUCAGAGUGGCGUACGGUACAGAAACAUAAACCUGUACUCGUAUCCUAAAUGUCAACAGGUCGUAUUUUUGAUCGAUCGAUCACGUGCCUCUAAAUAUAUGAUCACCUUGGGUUUAGGUUAGGAUUGGGUCAGGACCGGAUCGUGUUUGGAUAGUUGGAGUACGAGUGAAAUCCCUUUAAUAUUUGUGGUGUCCUGGAACACAAUAUCAAACCACCUUUUGGGACAUUAAUAAUGUAACUGCUGCUCUAUAUACGCAUAAAGGCCAACAACAUCAUAAAAUGCAACCAGGAAACAAUGAAUGCAUGAGGACAGAAAGAACCAGACAACAUUAAUUAGGAAUUUGCUGAUCUCCUCCUGACUCUGUUGAGCCAAAUUAAAGGCAAAUGCCUCACAUCACAUGCUUUCACCUCUCUAUAUUAAUAGCACACUCUCUCUCUCUCUCUCUCUCUUUCUCUCUUCAUGGAUGAUAACAUCAUGACCACUACACCAUCUAUUUGGCCUUUCUAUAAGGUGCAGCUUUGUUCAAUAAGAUCGAAUUUUAGUAGCACUAUUAACAGAAACAAUAUGUGAACAUCACUCUUAGUACAGCUUUUCUUUCCAGAAGAAACAGUAAGUUCCAAAUUAGAAGUUCAACUCGUAAUUUCAUUUCAAGUUUCUGCUUUAGCAAAAGUUUCAGACUUUUUUAUUUAUCCAAUAUUUUGCUAAGAUUAGUAUCGGUGCUCCAACGGGGACUACUACGCCUCUCGCAAUAUUGUACAACUAAAGAAGAUCGAACACAACUUUGAUAAUACGCUGCUAUAUUUUAAUUUAAUAAGAGAGAGGUUAACACCACGGAGUUCUUUUAUUUCUUUCGGUGGUUGUGAGAUAUGUAAUGAGCUGGAGAGGAAGCUUCACUGCGACCACGAGAACUUUAUUCUAUUUACUCAUAUUCACAUGAGAGUCUUUCUAUUUUCUAAGCCUUCCAAGUUUUCAAAUUUAAUUUUGGAGCCUUUUUGAUCUGUGAAGUUAAUUUAGAAUAACCUUGGCUUGUUUGGAAAUUGAAAACUUUCUGCUUCUUUCGGAAUUCAAAAGCGAAAAGGUCAUUUUUGUUUUUGGACACAGCAAAAACCUCCACAUUUUAGGUUCUUCAAAGUUAUCUUUGAAUGAAGCAAAGUUCAAAUCUCGAUUUUAGUCGAAAAGAUAUUCUGAAAGCCGAGGCAAAGAAGCACUUAUUAGUCAGAUAUGUCCUUGAUUUGGACUACCAUGAUUUUCUUUAGUAGAUGGGUCACACAUUCUUUGUCACCUAAACAUCAGUUUCAAAUGUCUUCUCAAUUAAGCAUCAUAAGUUUCUUAACUAAAGCUGCAAUAAAUCAGAAUAAUACUAAUUGAAGUUGCAUAAUAUCAAAGUAUCCUUAGUACAAGUUGCUGAAUCAACAUAUAUAGUAUAAUUGACAAUAACUAAUGUUUCAAAUCUUCAUUACUAAUGCUCACAUGAGAUUAUGUCUAAAAUCUAAAAGGUAAACUAAUCCCCAUAUGCGACUUUCAAAAUAUUAACUCAUCUACUAGUAUAUAUCCAUAUAUAUCCGCAAUACUUUCGAAGGUACAUGUAACAAUUUUACUUGGUGUUUUCAUUUAUUUCAUCGAUCUACUAGGUUUCGCGAUCUUUCUGCUGCGAAACUACUCCAUUAUUGAUGGCUGAGAUCAGACAUUUGAAUUUAAGUACUAUGUGCCUUGUACCUUGCAGUUAAUACUUUUACAUAUUUUGUAAUUAUUUAAGAAGAUAUAAGAAGAAAAAACAAAGAGAUGACAUUUGCAAAUCUUGGGGAGAGGAGAUUAUAAAUCAUAAAAUGCACUCACACAACUUUCGACUAAUAACACCAUGUAAAAAGGCAAAAAAAAUAAAAUAAAAUAAAAUAAAAAACACCUAUCACUUUAAUACUUGCACUGCAAAAAUGGUUUAGUUUGCUACAAGGUCAUGUACUAAUGUCAUCUAUGCAUUAGGGAUCAAAUAUAGAGUAACAAAUCAACACACGAUCAUAAUUAAUCCUCAAUAGAUUUGAUACAUUUUUUUUUUAAGUUCCAUCUAAUCAAAUAGCAUCAAUUAAUGUAAUGGGUACUUAAAUUAUUUUAAUUUUGAUCCCCUAAAUUAUUAAGCAAGAUCAUCAUUCAUAUCCGUAUUUGUACAUUAUAUAAGUGAGAGUUGGAUUAUCUACUCAAAUACUAUAGUAACUUUAGAGAAUCUCUGCUCAACAUUGGAGGGGCCAAGCACUAUCAAUCAUAUUACUUGAUUGUGUUGUUUAAGAAAACUAUAAAGCUACUUAUACCUAACAUUUCCCACAAUUUAAAAUGGAAUUUUCUAUGCACAAAAUGCAUAAAUAUCAAGAUUUUAUUUUAUAAAAUGGUUAAAUUAUAGAAAAUCUUCCAACCAAUACCCACUUUUUCACUUUUCCUCCUAUCAUUUAAAAACUUACACUUUGCUCUCUUAAAAAAUAAAAAAUAUUCACUUUGACCCCCGCCGUCAAUGUUCCAUUAGAGUUCCGUUUAUAUUUUAUUUUUUAUACCCAAAAAAACUUUUGAAAUUCUCAUUCACGCCCACACAUAUACCAUCCUCUGCCGCCUCGCCCACCCCUCUGUCCAUGCCCAGACACACGUCCUCGUCCUUCUCUACCGUCGAAUGAGUAAAAUUGGGGAGGAGGAGAUUGAUGAAGAAGAUGAAGAUAAUUUGAUCAUUUUGUCAUAUCGUAUUUUCUUGUGAAUAUUUUUUAAUUUUGAAGAUGAUAAAGUGUAGAUUUUUGAAUAACAGAAAAAAAAUAUGAAAAAAUGAGUAUUGACGUCAGAAUUUUAUAUAAUUUAGUCCUAUAAAAUGCCCGUGCUAAUUGUAACUGUGGUUUUGAGCAUGUUAUCCAAAAGAGAGUUGUGGAACCAACUUUGGGCAUAUAUAGUUUGACAAAGUUUUGCUAACUAAAUUCAAAACUAAUUUGGGCGCGAAUAAUUAUUGCCUAGAUCAUUAACUCAAAUAUAUUUAUUCUAUCUCAUAUUUUAAAUUAAAUCAGUAAACUAGGUGCAAAAAAAAAAAAAAGCACAUAUGUAAUUUCUCCAUCACACAACUUUUUUUUUUUUUUCCUUUCAUUUUUUUUUCUCUCUACAUUUACUCAACAGUCACACAAAAAUACAUGUCAAAAUUAAAAAUUUGAUAGCUACAAGCCUACAAACACAUAAAUCAACCUAUCUUUUCUAGCAUUACGUGUCACUGUAUUUUUUUUUCUCGUAAUUGGAUAUAGAUAUUGCGCAUUAUCCUAGCCAAAUUAAUAUUCAAAUCCUAAUAUUCUAAUUAAGAAAAUAUUCAAAAUAAAAAAUAACAAAAAAAAAAGAAAAAGAAAACGAAAAGGCGACAGGAGUCCAAUGUUCUCUUCCCUCCCCCUCCAUUUAAUUUCGGAGCUAUGAAACAUUCCCCCAUUCACUCCUCUCUCUCUUUCUCUCUCUCUCUCUCUCUCUCUCUCUCCUCUUUUCCCCCUUCCUCUCCCCACCAACUCCACCUCCGCCCCAUGUGGGCGCUCCCUUUCCACCAUUUUCGCCUCUCCCAACCCAUGUUUCCUCCAAGGCACCUCCUUUUUCGCUCCCCAUUUUCCCCACUUCCUUAGUUUUUUGGGGGGGUUUGGGUUUUUGGUUCAGUUUAAUCCAUAAAGGAGCUUCUUUUAUGGGGGAGUUCGAAGCUUCAGUGUAGAGUGGACAUGAGGAGCUCACUUGGGUUUCCGCUGCUGCUACUUCUCGCCAUCAAAUUCGGCGUCCUCCUUGUGCCCACUCACUCCUCUUUAGAUUCCCAGGGUAUGUUACUAUGUUUAAUGUUUUUUGGGUUUGUGGGUUUCGAUUUGGGUUCCGUUUUGGGGGGUGAAUUGGAUGCGGGUUUUUGGAGAUGGGUCGGAAUUUUGGUUCUAGAGGUGAAUUUGUGAUGUGAUUUGCGUUGUUUUCAGCAAUUUCGGCGCUCGCCGCAUUUAAAAGAGCCAUUUUUGAAGACCCACUUGCGGUUCUAUCUGAUUGGAAUGCACAAGGUGGAGAUCCUUGCAAUUGGUAUGGUGUGGUUUGCUCACCAUCUCAGGAUCUAGUGGUUUCUCUGUAAGAAAAACCCUUCCUUUAACUUUAAUACUCACUUUGCCCCAACUCUUACAGAUCUCAAUUAUGCCCUUUUUUGCUCAGUAUCAGUAGUACUGGAUUUAGUUUGGAUCCUUACCUGUACACUGUUUAUUCCUAUAUAUUCUGUUAAUUAUUGUGCUAGUAUUCUUACUUUACUAUUUGAUAGUACUAGAGGUAAUGUAACCCCAUAUAUGACAAAGUGUAAGUGGUGCCAAAGAAGCUUAUGCAUACUAGCAUUAUGUUUUCUGUGUUCCUGAGAAGUUGUAUACUAUUUUUCCAUAUUAAUUAUCUUAUAUCUGAGAAUGGGAUUUGGGUUCUGCAGAAACCUUUCGAGUUCGUCGCUGAAGGGAUUUCUUGCUCCUGAACUUGGACAACUGAGUUCUCUGCAAGAACUGUAUGAUCUGUUACUAAAUACUAAUUCUUCACUUCUUUUUUUUUGGAGCACAUAAUAAUGUAUUUAUAUCAUCCUACAGGCACUUGGACAAUAAUUCACUUCUUGGAACAAUACCUAAAGAAAUUGGCUUGUUGAAGAACCUCACGGUACUCGACCUGAGCGUGAAUUGGCUUACUGGUCCUGUCCCUCCUGAGCUUGGCGAACUGACGAGCAUAACCAUAAUGUAGGAAGCAAAAUGUUUAGUAUAAAUCUCUUCUUCCCCCCUCCCACCCUUCUUCAUUGGCUACUUUUUCUUUUUCUUUUGAUAACUUGUUAUAUUUCUUUUUUAAAAAAUUUUCCUACACAGAAAUCUUCGCUCCAAUGCGCUGACCGGGAGUCUACCGCCCGAGCUUGGUAAUCUUAAUAAUCUUGUCGAGCUACGGAUAGAUAGAAAUAGACUACAUGGGCCAAUCCCUGGAAGCAACAAUUCAAAUGUUCCUACUACCUCAAGCAGCAUGUAAUCUUUUUUUUAUUUUAAAAAUACAUAUAUGCUUUUCUCAAGGGAAAUUGAUAACCCUUUCACUAUUUUUUUUCUUGUGGCAAAUAUCUGUGGCAAAUAUUUCAAAUCUUUGAUACGUAGGUUAGUACUAUGUUAUUAUUUCAGAUUAAUUUUUUAACUGUUACAAUUCAGGUUAGAUCACAGCAAUGGUAAUGGCCUGUGCCGCUUUGCUCGCUUGAGAGUAGGAGAUUUCUCGUACAACUUUUUUGCUGGAAAAGUUCCAGCUUGUCUGAAGUACCUUCCAAGGUAAAUAAAUUCUAUUUUAAGUCAUCUUAGAUAUACUUCAUUUGAAACUCAUCAGUUUCCUCGGAUCUAUAUGCAGGUCGAGCUUCCAAGGAAACUGCUUCCAAGAUGAAUACUCUGUCCUGCAGCGCACUUCUCAAAUUUGCAAUGGUGCCAUUAUAACUUCUCAAGUCACUUAUUUUUAAUGUCUUUAUUGCUUGAGGCAUCUUUAUAUGCCGAAAUCCAGGGACUAGAAUGAACAAUUGCGAAGUCAAUUGCGAAGUCUUCAUUAUAAACAUUUCAAUGACUAGUCAUUGUCCCUCGAAUAUAAACUCCAUGGAACAUUUACUAUUCACAACAACAUGGAACAUUUACUAUAGAAGGCCUAGGGGUUAGGUUAAUGUUAAUUCUAAUGAUCACAAAGGCACCGUAUAUUUGCUAAGUAUUCGAUCAUUCAUCUUAUUUGCAAUCAUGUGGUUUAUUUACUUGUAACAGCUAGAGUUUUAGGUUUUGCACAGGUGCAUUGAGGUCGUUCCUUUUAUGUGAAUAAAUUGAUACGCAUCUAUCAGUAAUACGUGCAUACUGUAUGCAAAUGUACUUCUUCUUAUGCUUAUACUUAAGAGAAAUAAAUUUACAUUUUUACAUGAUGGAUCUCAUAAAUCUACUGUUAUCAUGGAGGAAUUUACUGGUUUUCAGAUUGCUAGUCUCUGAUAGACUGAAAAGAGAAUUUGUUGCCCUUCCUUAGGUUCUUCUGCAAAAAGCCAGCAAGUAGGCAAAGAGAAAUAUAAACAAUCGAACGAAUGGCAUAAGCACCAAAGUCUACAGCAGCCAGAGUGGCUUCUGAUUCUGGAAAUUACUACUGGUGUUCUUGUGGUUGUUUUCGUAAUCACUGGUGCUGCUACUGCAGCUGGAAAUUGCAAGCUAAAGCCCACUGUAAAAAUUCCUUGGAAGAAAUCGAAGAAUUGGAGGGCGGACAUCGCAAUGUCUAUUGGUUAGUACCAAGUUUGUUACUGGCUAUCAAAUUGAGUGCUUCAUCACAAAAUGGCAGCUGAAACUAAUAAAAUUGUACAAAUUUUUGUGCCAAUAGACAGUGAAAUCCUGAAAAACAUCCCGAGAUUAAGUCGGCAGGAACUUGAAGUAGCUUGUGAGGAUUUCAGCAACAUUAUCGGCUCAUCUCCUGAUAGUAUACUAUAUAAAGGAACUAUGAAGGAUGGACCUGAAAUUGCUGUUAUUGCACUGUGCUUCUCUGAAGAACACUGGACGAGCUAUCACGAAUUCUUCUUUCAGAAUAAGGUAAAUUAUUGGCCAAAAUAGCUUUCAAUUAUUUUAUUUUCAUGCCGAAAAUUUAAUUAGGAGAUCUACCUUUCAGUUGGCUGACCUGGCAAGGUUGAAUCACGAGAAUGUAGCAAAAUUGCUUGGUUAUUGCAACGAAAGCGAACCAUUUUCAAGGAUACUAGUCUUUGAAUAUGCAUCUAACGGAACCUUGUAUGAGCACCUUCAUUGUAAGUCAUUUAUACUCUUUUGGCUUAAGCAUACAAAUUCAUCCAAUUAUAGGUCAUUUGGAAACUAGUUCUCUACUUUUUUUUUCCUCCCGAUAUGAACCAUUUACUGAAGCAUUGUACAGUUUCAGAAGAUGCCAUCAGGAGUAAAGUAUAUUUGGGACUAUUUUGAUGGAAUGAUAGAGUAUUCUGAAACUCAUUUUACGGAAAUUGAGGCCUGAUUGUGUUCUCUAAGAUCGUACAACACUAAGUUAGGGUUUCAAAUCCAAAAACUUCAACUUCAGGGCCUAUAUCCAAAUAUCAUAGUAGUUGGUUGGAUUCUUAAAUUUUUGCCUACUCUUUCUUUUGGUAUAUUGGUGCCAUCUUAUUUCGGACCUAAGGAUGCAUAUUACUUUUUCUUUUAGAUGGUGAAGGAUCACAGUUAUCAUGGAUUAGGCGCAUGAAAGUAGCUAUGGGUAUUGCGAAAGGACUAAGGUACCUUCACACAGAGCUGCAGCCUCCGUUCACAAUAGCUGAAUUGAACACAAAUGCAGUGUACAUCACCGAAGAUUUCACCCCAAAGGUUUGCAUUCCAUCAAGUAUAAAUUGUUCUACUUUUUUUGCCUGCUUUGACAUAGCUUCUUUACCAAAUUAAGGAGGUACUGACCCAACUGUUUUAUAAGCAGAUAGUUGAUUUUGAGAGAUGGAAAAUGAUUUUUUCGAAAUAUCAGAAGGGUUCUGCCUGUGUUACAAAUGGAGGUUCUUUUCGUGAUUUUGUGGAUUGCUUAGAGCAAAGGCAUUCGGAUGUCCAAGGCAAUACAUAUGCUUUCGGAGUGAUUUUGCUCGAAUUGAUCAGUGGAAGGCCUCCAUAUUGCAAAGACGGAGGAUGCUUGGAGGAUUGGGUGAGCAUUUUAUCAAUUUCGUACUUUCAAAUUACAUCUUCUGGUCCCAUCUGUGAUAAACCGAGCAUUUCCGUUGUAUAAUUUUAAUACGGUUGAAGCACGUAGUGUAUUUGCAUUUCAAUCUAGUGCAUUUGUUAAAUUUUUCAUCAAAUUUUUUUUUCUAACUCACAUAUUGAUCUUAAACUUGUUACAGGCCAGAGAAUAUCUUCAGCACCCAGAGGAGAUAGGAAAGCUGGUGGAUCCCGAACUGGAGAACGUGAAAGCCGACGAUCUCGCCGUUAUAUGUAGCGUGGUCAGCCUAUGCAUCGAGCCCGACCCUUCCAAGAGGCCGUCGAUGCAAAUUAUCGCAUCAGUUCUGGAGAAUGGGAUCAACCUGUCACCAGCUGCCCUGCUGAAAGAUUCGCCUUUAGCGUGGGCUGAACUCGCCUUAUCGUCGUAACUAAUAAUCCUUCCACAUUGUAAAUUCGUCUCACACGAAAUACCUUCUUCUUACUCUCUUUUUUUUUCCCUUUCUAUUUUUAAUAUUUUCCUCUUUAGUCCUUUAUUGGCCUUGUUGUUUGUACUAAAAUAGCUUGCGACGGUAACAACUGAUGAGUUGAAUGUGUGGCAAAGCUGGGUUUGCUGUAUAAUAAGUUGCUGUAUAAGUUUGAUUGAUCCAUACACUUAACAUUGGUUACAGAAGUUAAGGAAUUGAGAUCUGGUGGCUUCAUCUUCAAUAGUUUUAUUCUCAUUGUCCAUGUGCUGCUGCUGCUGCUAUUAUUUUAUACUACAAUAUCAAGAAAAAUCAAUUAUUGGUGAUCUAAUUUAAAAUUGGGUACUUAUUUAUUUAUAUAUGAAUUUCUUUAUUUAUUUUAGUGGGUCCUCAAUGCUCAAAAUACAGUCAAAAGUGUGCAAAUCAGUUGAUUUAUACAUAUUUCCUUCUACUUUUUCUUUUUCCCCCUCUAGUACAACACGUCUUCUCAAUGAAAAUUGACUUUUAGUAAAAUAAAAAAAAAAUCCAUAAAAAAUGUACCUAUUUCAUCAAGAAUAUUGAAUUAUGGAUAGUAUUUGUAUUAUAGUAAAAUUUGUUUGGAUCCAAAGAAUCUAUUUCAUUGAAUAGUAAUUUAUAUACUAAAAAAAAAAACUCGAUCUGUCUCUGUCGCCCUCAUUCAUAUGGUCAAAAAAUUUGAUUAAAAAGAGGAGCAGGUAUAUAUUAUUGCAUAUUAUUUCUCGUAAAAGCCAAAAAAAUGUAAGAGGUUGACGAAGGGGACGACCAUUUCCUGUUGUAGAGACCAUUCCAACCUUAAGAUGGUUCCAAGUAGCUUCCUCUUGCUCCCCACCACUAUUAUAUAUAUGGUAGGUACCAUUGGACUUAAUUAAAUAAUUAGUCUCUUUCUUAAAAAUUUUUUAAAAAAUAAUAAAUAAUUUCUUUCUUCGUAGCUACUAUUAUCACUGGACUCUUCUUAAUGAGUGUGUUUUGCUAGAGAAUGUUGUUAAAUAUAAAAAUAUUUAAAACACUGUUCUCUAACCGCUUAAGUUUUUAGAAUAUAACGGUUGUUUCACAUAGUAUCAAAACAGGAAGUCCUGAGUUUGAAUCACGCCAGACUCCUAGCAUAUUAAUUUCCUCCCAUUUAAUUCAAGCCCACGUUAUGGGCCGAUUAAAAAGUCUCGAACCCAGACGUGAGGGGGAGUGUUAAAUAUAAAAAUAUUUAAAAUACUGUUCUGUACAACGGUUGUUUCACAAAUGUAAUAUUAUUGUAUAAAAUAUUAUCUAUAAAAAAAUAUUUUAUGUCAAUUUUUCAACAAAUUUCUUUUAUAAUAAUAAAAUUUAAAGUACCAAAUGAGAACUUCUAUGCUUUUUCAGUUUCUUAAGGCCAAAAAGACUAAAUUAGAUUAGAGAAGACAUUGUCACAUCUGAUACCACCAUCGCAAGGACUCUUCCUUAUGAGAAAUUUUGAACUGUAAAACCUAACUUAGCAAGGACAAUUGUAUUAAUAUGCAGGGUCAUUUGCAUAAUUAAAAGAAUGGAAAGGGUUUGCUAAGAUUUAUGAUCAUAUAUAAAGCAAUUUUUUUUUCUCUAAAAAUUUACACCGCUAAAAAAUGGUGUUUCAUACACAUUAAUUCAACAACAGAAAUAAUAAAUGAUGUAGAGACCCAACUGGUGUCAGCUUCCCUGGUCCACCCAAUCGCUUGAUAUGGUAAUGGUACAAGCUAUGACAUGCACAAAAGACUAGUGAUUAAACUUUUUUUUUUCCUACAUAAAUGAAGCAAAAUUGUUUUCUUUGUACACCAAUAAUAGUUUGUGGAGGCAUAUGCUUCAGGGAUCUUCCCACCGAGGGCAUAUGCUUCAGGGCACCUUCCCACUGAUUUUAGGAUAGUCAAAUACGUGGUUGAACUACGUCCAGAAAUGACGGUUUUUGUCUAAACUAAAAUAUUAACAAACUAAAAUAUUAACAAAUUAAAAUAUUAAGCUGGUAGGUUGUUGUUGAAUAUAAAAUUAUAUAAAUACCGUUCUCUAACAGCUUAAGCUUUUAGAGUACAACGGUUGUUUCACAUGGUAUCAAAGCAGGAGGUCCUGAGUUCGAGUUACGCCAGGCUCCUAACAUAUUAAUUUCCUCCCAUUUAAUUCAAGCCCACGUCAUGGGCCGAUUAAAAAGUCUCGAUCCCAGACUCUUAAGCUUUUAGAGUACAACGGUUGUUUCACAAUAAAUAUAAAAAUAUUUAAACACCGUUUUCUAACAUACAAUGGUUAUUUCACAUGGUAUCAGAGUAAGAGGUUAUUUCAUAGUCUAGACAGAAAAGAAUCAUAUAAUCUUUCGAGCCAAACUCGCCACCCCUUCCUGGUCGGUUGAGCGCGUCAAACUCCCGCUAGCCUCUUAGAACCAUAUUCUUUGAUCGCCUGAUCCCUGUCCCUUAGUCAUCUAUCCCUUUUCCCUCUUUCCCCACCGCUCGUUCCUUCUUCGUUUUAUUUUUCUUUCCCUUUUUAUCUCCUUUUCGUCUCUUUCUGUUGUAUCAUUUUUAAGAAAGCUCCAGCUGCUUUCAUCCUGUUUGCUUAGUUUAUUUUGCUUAAUGAAUGAAACAUGUAGCUUGCUACAUUUUCUCAAAAAAAAAAGCAAAGUAAAAUGAAUACCCAAUCAAAGCAGAAUGCUGAUCCAUUUAAAUCGGCAAUCUUUAUCUCAUAUUAGUUGUCAGAUCGUUAACGCUAGUUAUUAAUUCUAAAAAAUUGAGCUGUUAGAAAUACGCAACUAAUUCAUUUAAAGCGUAUAGACAUAGUGUUCAUGGCUCUCUGCGGAUCUCGAUUAUGAUUCGAUCAAAUCAGUCUUACACAACUUCAAAUAUGACUCGACUAAUUCAACCUCACGCCAUUUCGAACAUAUCCGACCCAACCUAAUCUUCUGCCACAGGACUAAUGGUAAUCCAUUUAAACCAACACAAAUGUUGGACCAGCUUAAGAUAAAAAUUAGCCUGAUGCUGGUAUAUUUUUUUUUAUUUUUCAGUUUAAUUUGUGAGCGCAUUCAAAUUCGGAUGGUGAGAGAUCAUGCUAGUUGUGCCCUACAACAAACAGUUGAAAGCGAAAGGCUACCUUUUUAAAAUCUUUUUUGUCUUUUUGUUCGUGGGGUUUGGGGGGUUAGGGGGGGUGAAAGCGAAAGAAAGACAGUUGGGUGGGGCCGAGUUCGGGUUUUCAGAGCCCACAUGAAAUAGUGUGUUCGUUGGAAAAGCCGACUUCGCUACGCGAGCAGGGAAGAAAGCAAACACCGGAAUGAGAACCUCGGCUGCCAGAACAUCAAGGUCCUAUUUCUUCGACAAUAUUCUAGAAAGAGUACGUGGGUCAGUGAAAACAGUUUCUUAUUUAUUAUUAUUUUUAUUUUUUAACUUGUCUAUAAUAAUUCACUAAUUCACUAAUAAAUCUCACAGCUCCUGCAUAUUUCUACCAAUUUAUCAUCUAACAAAUCAGAAGUUAGUUAAUAUUUUUAACUAAAUUUAUUUUUUUUAAAAAAUAAAUAAAAUAAAUAGCAUUUUAUAUUUCUUUCGAAAACAGAUGAAAAGUCCCGGUAGAAGCUUCAAGUUCCUUGUACGUCUUAAACGACAACUUGGGCAACAAUUACUAACCUUUGUAACAAAAAAACCAAUAGUAAUUUUUUUUAAGAAAAAAACAGCACGGGAUUUAAAAUUAAUUUUAUAGCAUAUAAAAGUACUUAAUUCCCGAUCAUGAUGGCAACAAGUACUGUAAAGACAAACCUUAUAUAUUUUAUUUCAUUAUAUAUAUAUAUUUUUUAUUACUUAUUUAUUUUUUUAAGGAAAACUUCAAAAACCCCCCUAGGUUUCACACUUUUUCAUUUUAGUAUCCUAUAGUUUUUUAAAUCACAAGAAACUAAAGUGAUAAAGUGUAAAACCACAGGGUACUAAAGUGAUAAAGUACAAAACCACAGGGUACUAACUUAAUACACUUUAAACCACAGGAUACUUAAGUGAUAAAGUGAGAAACAACGGGUACUAACUUGAUACAUUUUAAACCACAGGAUAUUAAAGUGAAAAAAAUUGAAACCACAAGGGGGGUUUUUAAAGUUUUUCCUUUUUUUAAUUCAAAUAAAAGGAGAAAAUAUUUUGUGUAGAAGUCGCUCCAUAUUAUUAUGAGCUUAUAUCUAGCCAAUUAAAAUAUCUAUUUUUAGAAAAAAAAAUAUAUAAUAAAAAUAUUUUUAUAUAAAAUAUGAUGGAAUAGAUAAAUUUUAAUUAAAAAGGCAUUAUAAUUGAUUGGACCACGCAACAAUAGAAAAUAUGGCUGGAAACCUUUAUUUUUUUUUUUUUAUUAAUAUAGAGAGAGCAAUAAAAGCUGGUUCUAUCAUAUAUCUAUGCCCCGGCCGUGAUGGCUUUGGCGGGAGCUAGGAAGUGCUCGGCCAAUAAGCGCCGUUGGAUCUUCCCUGUGGCAGUCUUGGGAAGCGAGUCGGUGAUGUACACCUUCUUGGGCACCUUGAACGCCGCGAGAUUCUUCCUGCAGUAGCUCACCACCUCCUCCGCCCCGAUCUCCGCCCCCUCCCUCGGAAUCACCGCGCAGUUUAUCUGCAAACCAUUCACCAGCAAACGAACGGACGGCUCAGAUUUUCUUGUUUUUAAUAUAAUAAUAAUAUAUAUAUAAAAUAAUUUCAAAUUCGCAAAAUUUUCUAUCAAAUAAUAAUAAUAAUAAUAAUAAUAAUAAAAGAAAGAAAAGGACUCGCCUCCUCGCCGUAUUUAUCGUCGGGCACGCCGAACGCCACGGCCUGCGCGAUAUUCGGGUGCGCCAGCAGCACCGCGUCCACCUCGAUCGGCGAGAUCUUCUCACCUGCUCACCAGAAUUCGAUGAGAUCAGAUCACUAGAUCUAUUCAUGGCAACUCUCUCAAGUCUCACCUCCGCGGUUGAUGAGCUCCUUGAUCCGGCCCACGAGGCGCAGGUACCCGUCGUCGUCGAGGAAGCCCACGUCGCCCGUGUGGAACCACCCGUGCCGGAACGCCUCCCGGUUGGCCGCCGGGUUGUUCUUGUAGCCGCCGGUCACGUUGGGCCCCCGCACGCACACCUCCCCGGGCGCGUGCGGCGGACGCGGGUUCCCCUCCUCGUCGAGCACCGCCAACUCCUGGCCCACGGCCCGGCCCACCGACCCGGCCUUGUGGGCCCCGUCCUCGGGCAGCGGGUUCGACGUCAUCAGGUGCGCCGCCUCCGUCAUGGCGUACGCCUCCAGCACCGGCGCGCCCAGCGCCGCCUCCAGCCGCGCCAGCACCGCCGGGGCCAGCGACGCGCUGCAGCUCCGCACGAACCGGAGCCGCGGGUAAGCCCCCUCCGGCUCCGGCCGCGCCGCGUGCCGGUCCAGCAGGAUCUGGUGGACCGUCGGCACCGCCGUGUACCACGUGGCGCCCGCCGCGCGCAUCUCGCCCCAGAACGCCGACGCCGAGAAGCGCCCCGCGACGGGGAGCGCCGCGGCGCCGCCCGCGGCGAGCGAGCUGAGCAGCGCCGCGACGAGCCCGUGGACGUGGAAGAGCGGGAGCACCACCACGGUCGCGUCCGACUCGCUGAGCCGGUACACGGACCGGAUGUUGCUGACCGACGCGGCCAGGUUGAGCUGGGUGAGCGGGACCCCCUUGGGUCGGCUCGUCGUGCCCGAGGUGUGGAGGAAGAGGGCCACGUCGGAGGGCUCGUUGCCGAACAGGGCGGCCUCCGGGUCGGACCGGGCCGGGAGGGAGAGCCGGACCGGCCCGGCCGCGUCGGCGAGCGCGGCGGUGGCGCGGGGGAUCCCGAGCUUGGACGCCGCGGCCUCGGCGGCGGCGUUGCCCUCCGCGUUUGUCAACAGGAGGGUCGACUCGGAGUCGGAGAGGUAGAACUCGAACUCCUCCGCCGUGUACGCCGAGUUCAGCGGCGCCGCCACCGCCCGGGCCCGUAUCACCGCCAGGAACAUGAUCACAUACUGCACGGAAACCCAAGCAGAUACUCAAUAACCUUUUUUUUUUCUUUUUAAUAUUAAACUUUAAUAUCAAUUUAAUAUAAAUAUAUGUAAAAUUUUAUUCUAGCGAAAGAAAAUUAAAUAAGACUAGAAAUCUGGAAGGAAGAAGAAAAAAAGGAUAGGCGGUGGCAGGGGGGACCUCGACGGUGUUGGGGAAGGUGAGGGCGACGACAUCGCCCGGGCGGACGCCUGCGGCAGCAAUGGCGGCGGCGGCGGACUCGACGAGGUCGUGGAGCUGCGCGUGCGUGAGAUCGAGCUUGCCGGGGACGAGGAGGGCGCGCCGGCCGGGGAAUUUCUCCGCGGCCUCCUUCAGAAGCCCAGUUAGGGUGAGCCCUUCCUUGUUCGCCAUUUUCCUUAUAUUUUUCUUUCUAUUUUUUUUUUAAAAAAAACCUAUAAACAAAUUGUGGUAUGCAGCAGAGCGGAAAGAAUUGAGGAGUAGGAUGAUAUGGUUUGGUAUUUAUAGGCAGUUAAGAAAGUAAAGUCACAGGGGAACCGACGACGAGUAUCUCCUGCUGAUCCGCGUGUAUAAUAUAAUAUAUAUAUAUAUAUAUAUAUAUAUAUAUAUAUAUAUAUAUAUAUAUUANUUUAUGUGCACGUAUCUAGUAUUUUAAUUUAUAGUGAUAAAUUUAAUAAAUACUGGCCAAAAUUUUACUGUUGUUGUAAAUUACUAUAAUUUAUAUGCUUUUUGAUAUAAAAAUACUUUAAAUAUUAUUAUAAAGAAAUAAUUUCGAUGUGUACUUUUUCUUCGAAGGAGGGGACUUGGCCGUGCUGCGACGCGUGCGAGGGAUGGGUGAGCAGUGAUUCCCGGGUAGUUGGCGCUCGCGCCACCUCCGGGCCCGCGAGCUGCUGCCACGUGUGCGUCCCUUCGCGGCCUGGAACGUGGAAAGUCGUACGUGCACCUGGUGCGCCAUUACGCCCUGUGUACCGCCCUUCUUAAUCUCAGCUGUUAGUCCUGCAGUAUUUUCAAUUGCACCGUUAGUUAGUUCUUAAUUUUGGGACGGGUUUUAUUUUCGAUCUCUAAUUUCAAAGCUCGUAAUUUCAAACCUUGCAAAAAGUAUUUCAUUUUGAUCCUUUCCCUUGUUAAUUAUUUAUUAAAAAAAAAUUACUUUAGGGGCAUGAUACACAUCUUUAUUUUCACGUGAUCUUGCAUCCUGUUCUAAUCCUAUUGUUUACCAAGUUGCAAUCUAACGGAUAUGAAGCAAUGAACUCAUGAUGUAAGUCAACAAAGAAAAGAAUUUCAAAAGCAUGCAAAUUACUUGUGAAGCGCUGAUAGAAAAUCGUGGUGCAUGGGGUAUACUAAUACACUGAAUCUACAGAAAUCCUUGCAAGUGGAGUGGUGGCAUUAUCUGGAGCAGGGAAGAUUGAUUUUUUUGGAUUCUGGCUGCUUCUGGACGCGGGCGCUUCGUUUUUCUGUUGCAACCUCCACCACUUGUACCUUUUCUAGCUUUUUAAUGAAAAAGAAGACAAUCCAAUGAUGUUAUUGGCGCAUCCGGAGAUAGGACCAGGCUAGAAUACUGUUAAUAAUAAAUUAAUUAUUUAUAUUAUUAAAUUUUUAAUUUUUGGAUGAAGCGAUAUGCGCGGUUGGAAUAAUAAUAAUUUUCUAAAGUUGAGUGGAUAGUUAGUUCAACAAUAUAAUUUAACGGAUAAAAAUGAUCAAAAUGAUAAAUCUAACGGCAGAAAAUUUGGUAACACCAAGUGUUUGGUGUCAUCGAUAGCCGGACUUCUGAAGAUAAAUAUAAAUUUUUGUAUUUUUAUUUAUUCAAAGGUUUUAAAAGUCAAAUAUAUAUAUAUUCUGAAAUGCACGAGCCGAUCAUAAUUGAGAUUAUAUCUGAUUUGCUUGCCAACGUGUCCGACUAGAUUAAAUCGGGUCAUGUGGUGUUCGGUCCAGUCGGGUUCGACUAGAGUUCGGGUGAUGUCCAAUGUUAAGUUACCUGAUAACUGUGUAUAAGGGCUACUUUAGCUAGAGCGUUACUCUUGAUACAAAAUUUUCUAUAUCGGCGGCGUGCUUCGUGUAGAUGUAGUUCUCUGAGUCGUUUUAGUAAACUCCUAAUGGCCUCUGGAGUCUACGAAAGGCUACGAUUGGAGAGACGACACCGUAACUUUCCCAACCCAACAUUGUCGUCUAUUCUACGCUACUAUUUAACAUAAUUGUUACAUCCUGCUUUGAACUAUUGUCAUGAUACGUCACCAUUCCAAAUUCUCAAUUAUUAAUUAUGGCUCCAAUGGAACUCUGAGCUAAUUAAUAUAAUAUAGACAAUUUAGGAUUAAUAUUCUCUAACGAUGCUUCCGCUACCGCUAGGCACACCAAAAUAAUACAUAAUUGAGUGUUACAACUAAUGCACGCCCAAACGAGGCUGAUCUGAACUAGGCAAACUAAAAACAAGUAGAGUCAAAAGUUAAUCUAAUGGCAACUUGGUAAUUAAUUCGUACACCUUCUUGUGUAGGAAAAGAGCGGUAGCGACAAGCCUUGUGUUAUCAAAUUGAAGCUCCGUGUGCUUUUGCAAUUUAAAGCUGUGUCUCAAUUGUCUCGUCUUUUUUUGACAAAAAGUGAUGAUGCGCGAAUUGUUCGAGCAAAUUCCUUUCUCCGAUCACUCAUUAGUUUCGACUCAUGGGAUUGUACGAUGGCUGUGAAUGAAGCUAUAGUUAUCGGCAUGGAAAAUUUCCUUAUAUUGGAGCCAUUCUGCAUUACACUAAGGAUGCGUUUGGUUUGGUUCGCAUUAUGAAAGAUUAUUAGAAAUUAAAAAAUAUUCGAGAAUUUUAUUCCUAUUUAUCUUAUUACUAAGAAUGUUAAAUUUCUGUAUUUGAUUCGUACGGCCAUAUUAUUUAGCUAUGCGAUUUAAGAUUACAAAAAAUAUACUAUUGAUUUAUUUAUUUAUUUGUAGAUAAUGCUAUAAAAAAUUUCAACAUCUUUUUAGAAAAAAGAGAGAGAACAUAAAUUAGAAAAAAAGAGUAUAAUUAAAAAAAAUAGAAAGAGAAAUAGAGUCGAAAUUAGGAGUGAGAGAGUUGAGAUUUUAGAAAAAGUGGGAGAGAGAAAGCCUAGUUUAGAGAGAGAAAAAGAAUUGAAGUUUAAAGAGAAAAAUAUAAGUUUAGAGAGUGAUAUGAGGUUAGAAUGUAAAGAAAAAUAAUACCAACUAGUCGGCGGGUAGAGAGAAAAAAAAAGAUUAGACAUAUUAUAAUUACUCCAAUCCAUUAAUAUGAGGAUACUCAUCAUCCCUCAAGGAAAUGAGAUUAGUACUUUGGGAUGAAUUUCAUUCCCAAGUAAUCUAAUAUUACCAACUAGAUUACUUAGUUCAUUUAGCCAAACACCGUCAUAUUUUUUUUAUUCUUAUUAGAUUUCUAGAAAUCUUUAAAAGAUAGCGCGAACCAAACGCACCCUAAUGCAGAUGCCACAUAGAAAGUUUCUGCUGAUGAGUAGUGGAAUAUUCAUUCCAUGUGUAGAAAUUUUUUACACAUAAAAUUGUAUCUAAUCAAAACGUGCAUUGAAACCACCUGCACCCUGGGAGAGAUUUGAGUUUUAUUCUAAUUCCAAUCCCAGCAUAUAAUGAAAUGUCUAGUCUAGAAAAGAAAGGGGGGAAAAAAGAAAAUCCAAAAAGAUAUUUGAAUACAUCUGCAGCUAGGCCUGCUAAUGAGCCGAAUAUUGGGGCCCAUUAGACUUCAUUCGUCCCCUGCCGUGGAAGUGGGCUGGGCUAGGACACGGUCCACCGCAUCAUCCGUGCACCACCAAAGUUUCACAAAUUAUUUUAUUUUUUGCUUUCAAUUUUAUUUUUACUUUUAAUUCCUAUUAUAUUUUAUGUUUGUUGCAGAGCGUGCAUAACAUUUAAAUGGAGAUGAGAAAAAGAGCCCAUGCCUACUAAAGAGAAAGAUGUUGGACGUAACGAGUAUCUGGUCUCAGUAUUCAAUAAUUUAUUUAUAUCAAACUAGUAUUAUUGUGCUAUACAAAUACAAGGAAAUGAACAGUUAAAGUGCAAAAUAUUUAUUAUUGUAUUUUUUAUAUAUAACUUAAUUGUUUUGACUUAAUAAUACUGUUAAGUUUUAUGCGUAGUAGCUGUGAUAAAAGCAAGAGCAAACUCGGCCCACUUGAUUUUCCCAUGACUGGUGUACCGGUGACGUGGUGGACGUGGUCCGUGGAUAUCUCGUCUUGGUAAUUUCGCAAAACCUUCGAAGGGCCAUGGUACGAGAUAUUUAUUCCUUGUGGGGUCCACAUGAUCAAAGGGAUCUGGGCCCACGUGCGACGUGACUGAUCCGAUGGCGUCAACGCCACGUGGAACAUGAGUAGCCGCCCCUCUCUUUUCAUGUCUGAAUUAAUUAUUUUUUAUUAAAAAUAUAUAUAAUAACUUUAUUUUUUAAUAAAGAUGACACGUAUACACCUUGUCAGUAUAAUCUGAUUUAUUGAAGACAUACAUAAAUAAUUUUUAUUUUUGCUGCUUGAACUUUACAAUUUUUGUACCUGCGUUGUGUUUCAAUAAUUACACCGAGCUACUCGAGUAAAAUAAUGUGUCUCUUUCCUCUUAACUUUUAAUGAAAAGGGAAAACUUUAAAAAGUCCCCCAGUGGUUUCGUAGUUUCUCACUUUGCUUUUCUGUGGUUUAAAAUAUAUCAAUUUGCCCUUCUGUAGUUUCUUUUUUCUCUUUUUCUUAUAAAUUUCAUUAUUUUUUUUCUUAAAUCAGUGAUAAAAUUAAAAUUAAAGAGUACUAAAGUGAAUAUUUGAUAAAUCUAGAUGGGUAUCUGAAGUUUUUUAUAUAUAAUUUAAUAAAAAUUAUUAACGAAAAAGCUACCGACAAAAUAAAAACGAAACCACAGGGGGCAAAAGUGAGAAACUACAACACUACAGGCGGGGUUUUUGAAGUUUUUCCUAGUGAAAAAUAUAUAGUACCUAUGAUCUAUAUGUGUGUAUAAAUUUUUUUAUACCUUUAUUAUUCUUAGAUUCACAAAAUUUUAAAUAUAAUUUUGAUAAAAAAAAUAUUUAUAAAACUAGUGGGAAAUAAGAGCUCUUGGAAAAGUAGGUUGUUUUUAAAGAAUAUUAGUGAUA
rnacentral:lncRNA from 1 species